UUUAUAGGUCUUCCUCCCUCCCUCCCUUCUUGAUCGUGUAUUUUUAGUGUGUUUUUCCUUCUUGUCCUUCCUCCCUCUCCCUUCUUUUAUUGAUAGUUUUUCCUUUCCCCGUCUUUCGUUCGUCCCGGGCAGCAGAUGGAGGAGCAACUGUAUAUGUACAAUGCAAAGAGAAGUCCCGUAAAGGAAAAUUUCUCUAGAUAAUUAAAGAGGAGAAACCAAGGACAUAUUCCCCCCCCCCCAUCCAUCCCCAACUGGACAGGAUACCCCCACCCCCUUCCUCCGCCUUGUGCUCCCCCCCUCGCCCGUUCCUGAAGGAUACAGUGUCUUUCAGUAUUGCCUCCGAGCUCACCGUGACGCCCUCUCCCUACACCAUGCGGGCCGCAGCGUGGGUGAGCCAGAUCCCGGAGGCCAAAGAUGGCGGAGCGGCCGACCUCCUGCACCACCUGCCCCUCCUUCGCCCCUCCAACACCGAGGCCAAGCUGCAGUACCUCUCCAUCAUACCCAA